ACGGGUGAGUAACACGUGAGCAACCUGCCCCGGACUCUGGGAUAAGCGCUGGAAACGGCGUCUAAUACUGGAUACGCACCAGAAUCGCAUGGUUACUGGUGGGAAAGAUUUUUUGGUUCGGGAUGGGCUCGCGGCCUAUCAGCUUGUUGGUGAGGUAAUGGCUCACCAAGGCGUCGACGGGUAGCCGGCCUGAGAGGGUGACCGGCCACACUGGGACUGAGACACGGCCCAGACUCCUACGGGAGGCAGCAGUGGGGAAUAUUGCACAAUGGGCGGAAGCCUGAUGCAGCAACGCCGCGUGAGGGAUGACGGCCUUCGGGUUGUAAACCUCUUUUAGCAGGGAAGAAGCGAGAGUGACGGUACCUGCAGAAAAAGCGCCGGCUAACUACGUGCCAGCAGCCGCGGUAAUACGUAGGGCGCAAGCGUUAUCCGGAAUUAUUGGGCGUAAAGAGCUCGUAGGCGGUCUGUCGCGUCUGCUGUGAAAUCCCGAGGCUCAACCUCGGGCCUGCAGUGGGUACGGGCAGACUAGAGUGCGGUAGGGGAGAUUGGAAUUCCUGGUGUAGCGGUGGAAUGCGCAGAUAUCAGGAGGAACACCGAUGGCGAAGGCAGAUCUCUGGGCCGUAACUGACGCUGAGGAGCGAAAGGGUGGGGAGCAAACAGGCUUAGAUACCCUGGUAGU
rnacentral:rRNA from 1 species